rnacentral:rRNA from 1 species
ACCUGGUUGAUCCUGCCAGUAGUGAUAUGCUUGUUUCAAAGACUAAGCCAUGCAAGUGUAGUAUAAACUGCAUUAUACAGGUGAAACUGCGAAUGGCUCAUUAAAUCAGUUAUAGUUUAUUUGAUGAUUUUGGGUAGCAAUACCCACUACAUGGAUAUCUGUAGAAACCUAGAGCUAAUACAUGCAAAAUAACCAAACUUUUCGGAAUGGUUAGCACUUAUUAGAUACCAAACCAAUAUGGGGUCAAACCCAUUUCAAGGUGAUUCAUAAUAACUGAACAGAUCGCAUGGCCUUGUGCUGGCGACGUUUCAUUCAAAUUUCUGCCCUAUCAACUUGUUUUUAGUAUAGAGGACUAAAAAGGUUUUUACGGGUAACGGAGAAUUGGGGUUCGAUUCCGGAGAAGGAGCAUGAGAAACGGCUACUAUUUCUAAGGAAAGCAGCAGGCGCGCAAAUUAUUCAAUGAAAACAAAUUUUCGAAAUAGUGACAAAAAAUAACAAGGCGGAAAUUUUAUUUUCGUGCUUGGAAUGAGUACAAUUUAAAUCCCUUAACAAGUAACAAUUGGAGGGCAAGUCUGGUGCCAGCAGCCGCGGUAAUUCCAGCUCCAAUAGCGUAUAUUAAUAUUGUUGCAGUUAAAACGCUCGUAGUUGAAUAUUGAGUAUUGCAUUAAAUUGGUUGCACGUUUGUGUAACUAUUUAAUCAUACUCUUCCUACUGGUAACUCGAUUCUGUGCUUAAUUGCAUGGAGUAGCAUGAUUUCGGUUGUGUCGGUUGGUUAUUUCAGCUCCACAAAGAGGUUGAGAGGUGUAAAAGCCUUGAGGUUGAUUUAGUGGGUCAAGUUGAAGUAGCUAAUUGGAGUUCUAGUUCAUUUACUUUGAGAAAAUUAGAGUGUUUAAAGCAGCCUCUUUGGGCUCUGAAUACAUUAGCAUGGGAUAAUAGAAUAGGAUUUUAAUCUGAUAUUUGUUGGUUCAACAGGUUGAAAUAAUGAUGAAUAGGGACAGUUGGGGGUAUUUAUAUUGGAUGGUUAGCGGUGAAAUGCUCGGAUCCAUUCAAGAUAAACUAAAGCGAAAGCAUUUACCAAGGAUGUUUUCAUUAAUCAAGAACGAAAGUUAAGGGAUCGAAGACGAUCAGAUACCGUCGUAGUCUUAACUAUAAACUAUGCCGACCAGGGAUGUGGGUUGUUAUGAAUGUGUCAAAGCAUUCGAUUUCUUCCUAUGGAUCUUGUGAGAAAUCAUAAGUUUUUGGGUUCUGGGGGGAGUAUGGUCGCAAGGCUGAAACUUAAAGGAAUUGACGGAGGGGCACCACCAGGAGUGGAGCAUGCGGCUUAAUUUGACUCAACACGGGGAAACUUACCAGGUCCAGACAUUAGCAGGAUUGACAGAUUGAUAGCUCUUUCAUGAUUUAAUGGGUGGUGGUGCAUGGCCGUUCUUAGUUGGUGGAGUGAUUUGUCUGGUUAAUCCCGAUAACGAACGAGACCUUUACCAUACUAAAUAGUUUAGUUAAUGUUUACAUUGAUUCAAACUUCUUAGAGGGACUUUUGACAUCAAGUCCAAAGGAAGCAAAGGCGAUAACAGGUCUGUGAUGCCCUUAGAUGUUCUGGGCUGCACGCGUGCUACAAUGAUAAGCUCAUCAAGUUGAUCCAUUCAUUUGGAUAAUGCUUCACCGGAAGGUGUGGCUAAUCUUCAACGCUUAUCGUGCUUGGGAUAGAUGCUUGCAAUUAUUUAUCUUGAACCAGGAAUUCCUAGUAAUCGUAAUUCAUCAGAUUGCGAUGAUUACGUCCCUGCCCCUUGUACACAACCGCCCGUCGCUGCUACCGAUUGGAUGAUCCGGUGAAAUCCUCGGAUUGUUGAAGAUCCUUUUAUCGCAAGGUAAAAGUCUUUGACGAGAAGUUGAUUAAACCUUAUCAUCUAGAGGAAGCAAAAGUCGUAACAAGGCUUCCGUAGGUGAACCUGCGGAAG